rnacentral:rRNA from 1 species
GGGGAACGUUUCGAAGGAACGCUAAUACCGCAUACGUCCUACGGGAGAAAGCAGGGGACCUUCGGGCCUUGCGCUAUCAGAUGAGCCUAGGGUCGGAUUAGCUAGUUGGUGAGGUAAUGGCUCACCCAGGCGACCAUCCCUAAACGGGUGAGAGGAUGAAAGUCCACUGGAACUGAGACCGGUCCAGACUCCUAGGGAGGCAGCGUGGGGAAUAUUGGACAAUGGGCGAAAGCCUGGUCCCACCCUGCCCCGUGGGUGAAGAAGGGCUUCGGAAUGGAAAGCCCUUUUAAUUGGGAAGAAAGGCAGUAAGGUAAUACCUUGGCGUUUUGACCUUUCCCUUG